rnacentral:rRNA from 1 species
AUUGAACGCUGGCGGAAUGCUUUACACAUGCAAGUCGAACGGUAGAGGGGGCAACCCCUUGAGAGUGGCGAACGGGUGAGUAAUAUAUCGGAACGUGCCCAGUCGUGGGGGAUAACGUAGCGAAAGUUACGCUAAUACCGCAUACGAUCUACGGAUGAAAGCGGGGGACUCGCAAGAGCCUCGCGCGAUUGGAGCGGCCGAUAUCAGAUUAGGUAGUUGGUGGGGUAAAGGCUCACCAAGCCAACGAUCUGUAGCUGGUCUGAGAGGACGACCAGCCACACUGGAACUGAGACACGGUCCAGACUCCUACGGGAGGCAGCAGUGGGGAAUUUUGGACAAUGGACGCAAGUCUGAUCCAGCCAUUCCGCGUGCAGGAUGAAGGCCCUCGGGUUGUAAACUGCUUUUGUACGGAACGAAAAGGCUCUUCCUAAUACGAGGGGCUCAUGACGGUACCGUAAGAAUAAGCACCGGCUAACUACGUG